rnacentral:rRNA from 1 species
AUUGAACGCUGGCGGCAUGCCUUACACAUGCCAGUCGAACGGCAGCACGGGUGCUUGCACCUGGUGGCGAGUGGCGAACGGGUGAGUAAUACAUCGGAACAUGUCCUGUCGUGGGGGAUAGCCCGGCGAAAGCCGGAUUAAUACCGCAUACGAUCUACGGAUGAAAGCGGGGGACCUUCGGCCCUCGCGCUAUCGGGUUGGCCGAUGGCUGAUUAGCUAGUUGGUGGGGUAAAGGCCUACCAAGGCGACGAUCAGUAGCUGGUCUGAGAGGACGACCAGCCACACUGGGACUGAGACACGGCCCAGACUCCUACGGGAGGCAGCAGUGGGGAAUUUUGGACAAUGGGCGAAAGCCUGAUCCAGCAAUGCCGCGUGUGUGAAGAAGGCCUUCGGGUUGUAAAGCACUUUUGUCCGGAAAGAAAUGCUUGGCCCUAAUACGGUCGGGGGAUGACGGUACCGGAAGAAUAAGCACCGGCUAACUACGUG